GACGAACGCUGGCGGCGUGCUUAACACAUGCAAGUCGAACGGGAUUUUCGUGGUAUUUUUUUCGGCACGGGAGACGAACUGAAAGUGGCGACGGGGUUAGCAACCCCUUAGCAAUCUACUUUCUUCAGGGGGCUAGCGCUUGGAAAGGACGAUUACUCCUGCUUGAGACCAGGGAUUGGCAAGUUUCGGGGGUUAAAGAUUUAUUGGCGUAAGAUGGGCUCGCUUCUGGUUAGCUGGUUGGAAGGGUAAAAGCCUACCAAGGCGACGUUCAGGAGCCGGUCUGAGAGGAGGAACGGCCGCGUUGGAACUGAGGCACGGUCCAAACUCCGACGGGAGGCAGCAGUGGGGAAUAUUGCACGAUGGGGGGAACCCUGAUGCAGCGGCGCCGCGUGAGCGAGGAAGGUUUUCGAAUCGUAAAGCUCUGUCCUAUGAGAAGAUAAUGACGGUAACAUAGGAGGAAGCCCCGGCUAAAUACGUG
rnacentral:rRNA from 1 species